rnacentral:rRNA from 1 species
CCCUUAGAUGUUCUGGGCUGCACGCGCGCUACACUGAUGCGCUCAACGAGUUUUAACCUUGCCUGGAAAGGUUGGGUAAUCUUUUUAAAACGCAUCGUGAUGGGGAUAGAUUAUUGCAAUUAUUAAUCUUCAACGAGGAAUUCCUAGUAAGCGCGAGUCAUCAGCUCGUGCUGAUUACGUCCCUGCCCUUUGUACACACCGCCCGUCGCACCUACCGAUUGAAUGGUCCGGUGAAGCCUCCGGAUUGGCGCGCACCUCGGUGCCGCCGAGAAGUUGGCUAAACCUUACCAUUUAGAGGAAGGUGAAGUCGUAACA